UCCGGCCUCGGCCAGCCCAGGAAGGGGCUCCCACAGUGCAGCGGCGGGCUGAAGGGCUCCUCAAGUCCCGCGAAAGUGGGAACUCAGGCAGACGAGGCGCCGGGAGCGAGCGAGAGCUGCGAGAACUGCCAGCACGCUGUCACCUCUCACCACGAUUACAGGUGUAAGCCACAGUACCUGGCCUACCUUGAACUUUUUUUAACCUAAAGAGGAUAAUGCUGGUCUCACAAAAUGGAUUGGGAAAUGCCACACCUCUACUUUCUGAAAGAGUUUACAUAAGAGCCUCACUCUGUCGCCCAUGCUAGAGUACAAUCAUGCAA
rnacentral:lncRNA from 1 species